GGGUACUAGGGUAUACCGCACGGACAGACAAAAAACAAACUAAGUAAAAUAUCCUGACCCAAAGGGCAGGUCAAAAAGAGUAUGCACAAAAAUAAAAAGCAUAAGUAUAAACAUCCUGAUCCAAAGGACAGGUCCAAAAGAAAAAUAUGUGCAUCAAAAGAGAUCAUGUAUAAAUAUAAAAAUCCUAGCCUUAAAGGGCAGGUCUAAAUAUAUACAAAUGGCCCGGGGACAGGCCUUAGAAAUUGUCUCCCCUUUAAAUAAAACAGCUAUAUAGAUAUUGUCUUAAAUAAAAGAAAAAUAGCUGUAAAUAAACAAAUA